rnacentral:sRNA from 1 species
AACUCUGGAGUUCUUAUGGUAGUAAAAUGCCGGAAAGAAAAUUCUGCAUUGAAAGAAUGUCUAACUGCUUAAUAACUAAAUUAAAAUAUCUCUGAGACUUUCUCCAGCCUUGUGAUUUGUUGGAUUAAUAUAAUUUAACUCCUAGAAAGUUGAGAUAAAUCAUAUGGAUGAUAUAAAGCUAUAAUGAUCCAGCCUUUUAUGAAGAAUGCAAAAUGGAAUACCUGAAGGAAAGGGAAGAAUUCAGAAAAACUGGAAUUCCUGCAAAGAAAAGGCUACAGAAGCUUCCAACAAGCAUGUAGGCAGAUACUCAAAUGACAUUCAGGAACUCUAAUAUUCAUGGAAGUCAUUUUAUAGUCCUUAAAUAAUGGACUCAAGCAUGUAUAUUUGCUUUACCUUCACUAUGGAAAUAUUAUCUGAAAUAAAUAUUUUAUUUCAAAGUU